rnacentral:rRNA from 1 species
AGCGAACGCUGGCGGCAGGCCUAACACAUGCAAGUCGAACGAAGUCUUCGGACUUAGUGGCGGACGGGUGAGUAUCACGUGGGAACGUACCUUUUGGUUCGGAACAACUCAGGGAAACUUGAGCUAAUACCGGAUGAGCCCUUAGGGGGAAAGAUUUAUCGCCGAAAGAGCGGCCCGCGUUAGAUUAGCUAGUUGGUGAGGUAAAGGCUCACCAAGGCUACGAUCUAUAGCUGGUCUGAGAGGAUGAUCAGCCACACUGGGACUGAGACACGGCCCAGACUCCUACGGGAGGCAGCAGUGGGGAAUCUUGCGCAAUGGGCGAAAGCCUGACGCAGCCAUGCCGCGUGAAUGAUGAAGGUCUUAGGAUUGUAAAAUUCUUUUACCAGGGACGAUAAUGACGGUACCUGGAGAAAAAGCCCCGGCUAACUUCGUGCCAGCAGCCGCCGUAAUAC